AGUGAACGCUGGCGGUAGGCCUAACACAUGCAAGUCGAACGGCCGCACAGUAAGAGCUUGCUCUUACGGGUGGCGAGGGGCGGGCGGGUGAGGAAUACAUCAGAAUCUUCUUUUUCGUGGGGGACAACGGAGGGAAAGUUCCGCUAAUAGCGCAUAUGAUCAACGGGUUGAAGCAGUAGUUAUUGGCGGCUUGCGUGUCUCAUUUAGCUGAUGCCGGAUUAGCUAGUUGGGUGGGUAAAGGCUCACCAAGGCGACGAUGCGUAGCUGACCUGAGAGGAUGAUCAGCCACACUGGAACUGAGACACGGUCCAGACUCCUACGGGAGGCAGCAGUGGGGAAUAUUCGGCAAUGGGCGAAAGCCUGAUCGAGCCAUACCGCGUGAGUGAAGAAGGCCUUCGGGUUGUAAAGCCCUUUUGUUGGGGAAGAAAAGAAGCAUAUGAAUCCCCCGAUGUUCUGACGGUACCCAAACAAUAAGCCACGGCUAACUUCGUG
rnacentral:rRNA from 1 species